rnacentral:rRNA from 1 species
UACGGAGGGUGCAAGUGUUAAUCGGAAUUACUGGGCGUAAAGCGCACGCAGGCGGUCUGUCAAGUCGGAUGUGAAAUCCCCGGGCUCAACCUGGGAACUGCAUUCGAAACUGGCAGGCUAGAGUCUUGUAGAGGGGGGUAGAAUUCCAGGUGUAGCGGUGAAAUGCGUAGAGAUCUGGAGGAAUACCGGUGGCGAAGGCGGCCCCCUGGACAAAGACUGACGCUCAGGUGCGAAAGCGUGGGGAGCAAACAGG